UUUCCUGAGUCUUGAAAUAAAGUACUAAUUAUAAUAGCUCCCACACCUUAUAAUUGAAAAAAUUAAUGGUGUGCUCACACUUCCAUAAAACACAUAGAAUUAAAACUUGGAGGAAGGGAGGGAAAAAUAAAAUGACAUAAUCCAAGGGGGAGACAAACCAUAAGGGACUCCUAACCAUAGGAAACAAACUGAGGGUUGCUGGAGGGGAAGGAGUUGGAGGGAUGAGGUAACAGGGUGAUGGGCAUUAAGGAGGGCAUGCGAUGUAAUGAGCAUUGGGUGUUAUACGCAACUAAUGAAUCACUGAACUCUACCUCUGAAAAUAAUAAUAUACUAUAUGUUAAUUGAAUUUAAAUUAAAAAAAUUUUAUUGUGUCAGAUUAAAAAAAAACUUGGACUAGAGAACAUUAAAAUUGAUUUUAAAAAUAGGAAUCAUUUUCAAAGAAGUCUUUUCAUUUCUUUGAAAAAUAAAAAUUGUCCAAGUUUAACAGUUUGGAACUUCAGUAGUCCUGGAAAUUUCAAUAAGACAACUGCUCUGCUUGGGUUGCGUUUCCUUUACCUCAUAUUUUGAAAGUGUCUCCAAGAAAAAAGCUUACCUACUGUUCUCAGUUACUGCAACCCUGUACUGUCCAUUGUCCAAACACUGAAAAGAGUUGCUUCGUAUAUUUCUAUCCACUUAUGGUUAUUGAUGACAAGAAAGUUAUUCUGUUGUCAGCUGUUCCAUGAUGGCUAAAUCACAGAAGCCUAUAAAUCUUUGAGAAGAUAGCAUAGAGAGGAAUAUUGUUAAGUUCUUGGAAUAACAAUGAGUUUCUUAAUGGAAAAAGAAACAUGAAGGAAAUUUUUGAUAAAUUUAAUCACAUUAAAUUAAGGAUUGUCCCUCAAAAGAUUCCCUAAGGUGAAUAAAAAGACAUGGCAAUGUAGUGGGGGAGGAUAUUUGCAAUGUGGAAGAUGACAAUGCAGUAAUAAAAUGAUGUAAAGAGUAGACUUACGGCUUGGGGAAGAUAAAUAUGACAUACUUUCUGAAAUGUUCCCAGAUGUUUAUCAUUAAAAAACCAACAAAGAUUGCUAAGAAAAACCAAUACACAGCAUUUUUUCAACAAAAUUAAGUGACAAGGCAUUUUCAUAAGGUACAAAAUACAAGUAGAUGGAAUCAAACUAUGGGGUACACAAUAUUUUGUCAAGACUUGUCAGGUUUUGCAGAGGUGAGGGGUUGCCGAGUAAAGAAAAAGGGAAGUUCUAUGUGUCCUAAGAACUCCAGAAAACAAAUUACCAAUAAAUAUCCAUAAAAGGAGAAGAUUCCUCCAAGUAUAUCAGAGAACAACCUGCAAAACAGAAGGCUCCAUUGGCUUCAAUAUGUGGGUGAGCACAAAAGGACAUGAGCACUAAGGUACUGCAAGAAAUCAGAGGGAGCUGAGGCAGUCUAACCCUCAAGGAAAUUAAAAAAAAAAAAAAAAAAAAAAAAUUGGUCAAAACCAAAACUCUAUUUCAGAAGGACAGAAAUCAUCUUGGAGGAAAAACUGCUGGGAAUAGAAUCCAGUUAAGAUGGACCUAACCCAAAACUGUUAAUCAUCUGACUUGCAUAAAUUCCUACUCUUCCUGAUGUACCAUAAUGGCAUUCCUGCAUCCCUAGGAAUUAGUGAAAAUAUAGUGUGUAUUAUACCUGAAAUGCUCAGUUACAUCCUUUUCCCCCAAUGCACAGUCACCUUGGUAAAUGGACACUGGUCCCUUUAGGGGGAGGUUAUGACUUAAAGUAUUUAUACUUCUGUGACACUAUUGGGAACUUUCUUCAGGGGACUAAGCCUCCCCUUCUUUCAGGUUGCUCUGGGGCUACAAACUUGCAUUUUGGAAUUGGCUGAGGGCCCAUGACUCUUCAUUUUGGUCAUUCAAGUUGAACUCCCAUUCAACAGAUUUACAAUCUUUUCUUCAAUUGGCUACUUAACUAUUUCAGUCCUGGGACACCAUAACAGAUGUUGCCAAAGAUCACAUCUUCCAGUUACUUUGACUUUGGUUGUGGUGCCAUUAAAGUAACCAUGCCCACCUUGUCUCCACUACUUUAGUGACAACAUGACCCCUACCUCUCUGUGAUCCUAUUAUUCCCAUUGAAUUCUGGGAACCUAUUUCAAGGACAACAUUUCCCAUUGUCAUUUCUGAUGCACAGAGAAUAGCCACAAGAGUUCGUCAAGAUUGUUGGUGAUGACCUCACUAAUAUGUUUCCCAAGGAUUUGAUAAAGGGAAUAUUUGAAUAUUUUCUGGACUCUCCAGUAGACAUAGUAGGUGAGUGAGCAGGUCUUACUCCAGCAUUGCAAUCUCCUUCAACUUUUGGCAACUCCAUUUUUGGUAUACCAAGCAAGUUCUGGCAUCUCAAUUUUGUUCAGUGUUGGCCACGUGUCAGUCCAAGUUUCAGACAACCAACCAAGAAAACUCUUAUAGUUGCUCCUAGGCUUCCUAGCCAACAACUGAAUCCCCAAGUCUCUGCCUAGUGCUUCGUAUCAGUAGAUUCAGCCAAAUCCAAUAGUAUAUUCCUUCACCCGGAUCAAACAUCCAUUUUCACACAUAGUCCUUAGGUUCCUCUCAAUAUAAAGAUUUUAUUUAUUUAUUUAACUGACAGAGAGACAGCUAGAGAAAGAAUACAAGCAGGGGGAGUGGAAGAGGGAGAAGCACACUUCCCGCCAAGCAGGGAGCCCGAUGCGGGGCUCAAUCCCAGGGCCCUGGGAUCAUGACCUGAGCUGAAGGCAGCCUCUUAACCAACUGAGCCACCCACGUGUCCCAGGUUCCUCUCAAUAUAAAUCGACAAAUUUUGCAUUACUUUUAUGUGUGUGAUGUCUCCUCUUAGGUCACACUUCACAGUUGAACCCUGGGACCUACUGGGACUUGAGUCUGAACGUAGACCUACAAGCAAUAAGAGGUGUGAGACUGAAAAAAUCACAAUGCUCACUCUUCCAAGCAAGGAACGGGCAUAUGACUAAGCUGGAGAAACUGGGCUUCCAUUCUGAGGACUUUGACUUUUGAGUAGAAAAACAAGGACAGAAGAGUGUUCGGAACUCAUCCUAGAGAGGAUGAUCAAGUAUGUGUGUUGCCUGGAACUCCAGAGAAGCUUUUGGUCCAAGCCUUUCCAGAGCCUGACCCUCAGGCUUUCCAGAACCUGACUUCCUGCUAAUAUUAAACGAUUCUUACGAGCUGUUGAAGUGACAUAGCAGUGCUCAACAGGUGGGCCAAUUAACAAUUUACUCUUCAUGACUCUCUGGGACUAUUGGAAUUUACUAUAAAGUAGCAGAUUCUAGAUAUCAUCUGUAGGAAAACUAACUCCUGCCCAAGGGGGUCUGAACAUUAUUAGAACUUCAGACAGCUGCCACCCCCCACCCACCCAGGACUUUCUCUGGAAAUCCUGGCAUUUCAUCCUACCCUUGUAAUGUUCUGAAUCCUCAUUGUCCAAAGUUUGUUCUGAGGUGACUGCAGAACCAAUCAGAGAACUCGACUGGAGCAGAGGUUUGCUAUUUCUCAAGAUGUUACACAGAAAUAUGACUGCAUCCUAAGAAUCAGAAAGAAUGUUAUAUAAGUUCUUUAUUUUUGUGCUAAGAUUUCCGGAGUUUACCUACCAACAUAAGGAUUAACCUUAUCUCAAAGUUAAUUCAUAAAGGUUAAGAGUUUCUAAACAUCGCUACCAUGUUUCCCAAUUGUGCACAAUCAUUUAUAAUUUAAGCAGAAAGGAAAUACAGCAUGGGUAAAGCUAAAGUGUUUGCCUCUCGUAUUUCUAUCUAAACUGUAUAGCUGGAAGGGGGGAUGUCUCGGAUACCGGAGAGUUGAGCAUGGGCUGCUUAGCACAUCACAUGCUGGUUUCUGUAAAGUUUCUGUAACAGUGUUAUCUAAGUAGUAUAGAUUCUCCCUCUUUAAAUUAAUUCCACCCCCCCAAACUCCUCAUCUUUUAAUUACUGUAAAAACUGGUUUCAAUUUGCUUGCAAGUAAUUUUCUGCUUCCUACGUUUUUGUGGUUUGCUAAUUUGGAAAGAAUUAUAAUCAGUGUACUCUACCAGAGAAAACUCUGUAAUAUGGCAGAGUCCAGGGUAGAAAAGUUCCAUUUUCUGUGUUUUGGGCAGCUUUCAA